rnacentral:tRNA from 1 species
GGGUUUGUAGCUCAGGUGGUUAGAGCGCACGCCUGAUAAGCGUGAGGUCGGAGGUUCAACUCCUCCCAGACCCACCA